rnacentral:rRNA from 1 species
GAUGAACGCUGGCUACAGGCUUAACACAUGCGAGUCGAGGGGAAACGACGGGGAAGCUUGCUUCCCCGGGCGUCGACCGGCGCACGGGUGAGUAACGCGUAUCCAACCUGCCUCUGACUGAGGGAUAACCCGUCGAAAGUCGGCCUAAUACCUCAUGGUAUCGUCUGCGGGCAUCCAACGACGAUUAAAGAUUUCAUCGGUCAGGGAUGGGGAUGCGUCUGAUUAGCUUGUUGGCGGGGUAACGGCCCACCAAGGCUACGAUCAGUAGGGGUUCUGAGAGGAAGGUCCCCCACAUUGGAACUGAGACACGGUCCAAACUCCUACGGGAGGCAGCAGUGAGGAAUAUUGGUCAAUGGGCGAGAGCCUGAACCAGCCAAGUAGCGUGCAGGAAGACGGCCCUAUGGGUGGUAAACUGCUUUUAUGCGGGGAUAAAGUGAGGGACGUGUCCCUCAUUGCAGGUACCGCAUGAAUAAGGACCGGCUAAUUCCGUG